rnacentral:rRNA from 1 species
GACCCCAGGUCAGGCGGGACUACCCGCCGAGUUUAAGCAUAUCAAUAAGCGGAGGAAAAGAAACUUACGAGGAUUCCCCUAGUAACGGCGAGCGAACCGGGAACAGCCCAGCUU